CANACCUCUGAUCAGGGAAGACUACCCGCUGAGUUUAAGCAUAUCACUAAGCGGAGGAGAAGAAACUAACCAGGAUUUCCCUAGUAACGGCGAGCGAACCGGAA
rnacentral:rRNA from 1 species